rnacentral:rRNA from 1 species
GACGAACGCUGGCGGCGUGCCUAACACAUGCAAGUCGAGCGGAGCGGCGGACGGGUGAGUAAUGCCUAGGAAUCGGCCUGGUAGUGGGGGAUAACGUCCGGAAACGGGCGCUAAUACCGCAUACUAUGAGAUGAGCCUAGGUCGGAGUAGCUAGUUGGUGGGGUAAAGGCCUACCAAGGCGACGAUCCGUAACUGGUCUGAGAGGAUGAUCAGUCAAACUGGAACUGAGACACGGUCCAGACUCCUACGGGAGGCAGCAGUGGGGAAUAUUGGACAAUGGGCGAAAGCCUGAUCCAGCCAUGCCGCGUGUGUGAAGAAGGUCUUCGGAUUGUAAAGCACUUUAAGUUGGGAGGCGUUACCCACAGAAUAAGCACCGGCUAACUUCGUGCCAGCAGCCGCGGUAAUUC